GUGGGGAAUAUUGGACAAUGGGCGAAAGCCUGAUCCACCCAUGCCGCGUGUGUGAAGAAGGUCUUCGGAUUGUAAAGCACUUUAAGUUGGGAGGAAGGGCAGUAAGUUAAUACCUUGCUGUUUUGACGUUACCGACAGAAUAAGCACCGGCUAACUUCGUGCCAGCAGCCGCGGUAAUACGAAGGGUGCAAGCGUUAAUCGGAAUUACUGGGCGUAAAGCGCGCGUAGGUGGUUCGUUAAGUUGGAUGUGAAAGCCCCGGGCUCAACCUGGGAACUGCAUCCAAAACUGGCGAGCUAGAGUACGGUAGAGGGUGGUGGAAUUUCCUGUGUAGCGGUGAAAUGCGUAGAUAUAGGAAGGAACACCAGUGGCGAAGGCGACCACCUGGACUGAUACUGACACUGAGGUGCGAAAGCGUGGGGAGCAAACAGGAUUAGAUACCCGAGUAGUCC
rnacentral:rRNA from 1 species